rfam:Felis catus isolate Cinnamon breed Abyssinian chromosome C1, whole genome shotgun sequence.
GCCUGGGUGGCUCAGUUGGUUGAGCGUCCGACUUUGGCUCAGGUCAUGAUCUCACAGUUUGUGGGUUCGAGCCCCGCAUUGGGCU